rnacentral:rRNA from 1 species
CUAGUAAUCGCGGAUCAGCAUGCCGCGGUGAAUACGUUCCCGGGCCUUGUACACACCGCCCGUCACACCAUGAGAGUUUGUAACACCCAAAGCCGGUGGGGUAACCUUUUGGAGCCAGCCGUCUAAGGUGGGACAGAUGAUUAGGGUGAAGUCGUAACAAGGUACC